rnacentral:rRNA from 1 species
UACAGAGGUCUCAAGCGUUGUUCGGAUUCAUUGGGCGUAAAGGGCGCGUAGGCGGCGCUGUAAGUCGGGUGUGAAAUUUCGGAGCUUAACUCCGAAACUGCAUUCGAUACUGCGGUGCUUGAGGACUGGAGAGGAGACUGGAAUUCAUGGUGUAGCAGUGAAAUGCGUAGAGAUCAUGAGGAAGACCAGUGGCGAAGGCGGGUCUCUGGACAGUUCCUGACACUGAGGCACGAAGGCCAGGGGAGCAAACGGG